CUUCUGGAUAUCUACAAAACUGGGGAAGCUGUUGCUGAGAAAGACUCUGAGAUUACCUUCAUUAAAAAGGUAACCUGUACUAACGCUGAGCUGGUAAAAGGAAGACAGUACUUAAUUAUGGGUAAAGAAGCCCUCCAGAUAAAAUACAAUUUCAGUUUCAGGUACAUCUACCCUUUAGAUUCCUUGACCUGGAUUGAAUACUGGCCUAGAGACACAACAUGUUCAUCGUGUCAAGCAUUUUUAGCUAAUUUAGAUGAAUUUGCCGAAGAUAUCUUUUUAAAUGGAUGCUAAAAUUCCUGAAGUUCAGCUGCAUACAGUUUGCACUUAUGGACUCCUGUUGUUGAAGUUCGUUUUUUUGUUUUCUUCUUUUUUUAAACAUUCAUAGCUGGUCUUAUUUGUAAAGCUCACUUUACUUAGAAUUAGUGGCACUUGCUUUUAUUAGAGAAUGAUUUCAAAUGCUGUAACUUUCUGAAAUAACAUGGCCUUGGAGGGCAUGAAGACAGAUACUCCUCCAAGGUUAUUGGACACCGGAAACAAUAAAUUGGAACACCUCCUCAAACCUACCACUCAGGAAUGUUUGCUGGGGCCGAAAGAACAGUCCAUUGAAAGGGAGUAUUACAAAAACAUGGCCUUUGCUUGAAAGAAAAUACCAAGGAACAGGAAACUGAUCAUUAAAGCCUGAGUUUGCUUU
rnacentral:lncRNA from 1 species